rnacentral:rRNA from 1 species
UACGGAGGAUCCAAGCGUUAUCCGGAAUCAUUGGGUUUAAAGGGUCCGUAGGUGGGCCGUUAAGUCAGAGGUGAAAUCCUGCAGCUCAACUGUAGAAUUGCCUUUGAUACUGGCGGCCUUGAAUUACUGUGAAGUGGUUAGAAUAUGUGGUGUAGCGGUGAAAAGCAUAGAUAUCACAUAGAAUACCGAUUGCGAAGGCAGAUCACUAAAAGAACAUUGACACUGAUGGACGAAAGCGUGGGGAGCGAAAAGG